GGAGCACGCGCGUGAGUGAAGAGGUUUCGGCUCGUAAACUCUGUUGUUGGAGAAGAACGUGCGUGAGAGUAACUGUUCCGCAGUGGCGGUAUUCAACCAGAAAGUCCGGCUAACACGUGCCAGCAGCCGCGGUAAU
rnacentral:rRNA from 1 species